UUAUACAGAGAAAUCACGGUCG
rnacentral:miRNA from 1 species